rnacentral:rRNA from 1 species
UAGGGAAUCUUCGGCAAUGGACGAAAGUCUGACCGAGCAACGCCGCGUGAGUGAAGAAGGUUUUCGGAUCGUAAAACUCUGUUGUUAGAGAAGAACAAGGACGUUAGUAACUGAACGUCCCCUGACGGUAUCUAACCAGAAAGCCACGGCUAACUACGUGCCAGCAGCCGCGGUAAUACGUAGGUGGCAAGCGUUGUCCGGAUUUAUUGGGCGUAAAGCGAGCACAGGCGGUUUCUUAAGUCUGAUGUGAAAGCCCCCGGCUCAACCGGGGAGGGUCAUUGGAAACUGGGAGACUUGAGUGCAGAAGAGGAGAGUUGAAUUCCAUGUGUAGCGGUGAAAUGCGUAGAUAUAUUGAGGAACACCAGUGGCGAAGGCGGCUCUCUGGUCUGUAACUGACGCUGAGGCUCGAAAGCGUGGGGAGCAAACAGG